rnacentral:lncRNA from 1 species
AUGAGACAAGAUAUAAUCAUGGCUCGAGAUGAAAUCUCAAGAGCAAUAACAAGAUGAACAUGAUCUCAAUAUAGAGAAUAUGGAGUAAAUCAUCAAUAUCACCAUAAUCAAUAUCAACUCAUCUGAAGCAUAUAUGGAAUAAUCAAGUAAACAUAUAUGCUACUCAUGAAUAUGCUCAAUAGAUCAUAAUGCUGGAACAUACAAAUCAGGUGUCAAUAUGCUGAAAUCAUCACUAGACAGCUGUCGGGAGGUGGGUUUUACGCCCCAGGCGAAUCAGCAACAACUUCCUACUGUCACAUGCAUAUGCAGGAUAAGACACCAUAUCGAUAAUGUAAAUGCUAGACAGUUGUCAGAAGGUGAGUUUUACGCCCCAGGCGAACCAGCAACAACUCCCUACUGUCACAUGCAUAUGCAGGAUAAGACACCACACUAAUCAUGUAAAUGCUGGCCAGUAUCCAGAACAGAAAUCCAUCUCACAUCUACAUACUAAACGGCACCUCGUGGGAAUUCUACAUCCGCGGAAAGCUAUACUGCACCUUGCAGGGUCUUACUAUGCCCGGCGGCAAGCAGAAUAUAAGUCGUAGGACCGGCCGAUCCUACGCCUAGGGCCGUGUCCCCCCCUAGGAAGGGACUGGGCUCCGCCCACCCAGAAGGCUACUAUGUGCACAAAGGCCGAUGUUCAACCCCAUCGACUAUAGGUGUCCUGCAGAUACUGCCAAGCCAUGCAUAAAUGCCAUAAUGCACCCUCUCAAUACUCAACUAAAA